rnacentral:misc_RNA from 1 species
CCAUGCUCUUCAUACUCGGACUUGGAGAACCACAUCUGCUGGAACGAACCAAGAGAUGCCAAUAUACUCCCGCCUAUCCAUACACUGAAUCUCCUUUCUGUUGCAUUUCCACUGGCCAGCACUUUAACUCUAGCAGCUUGAGGAGACUCCUCAAGCAAGUCUUUCUCAAGACGUUCCUUCAACUGUUGCAUUGAUGCUGUGCCACCAGCAAGCAGUAUACUGCUAAAAAGUUCCCUUCGAAUAUCCACAUCACAUCUAUUAAUGCUCUCUAUCACCAUUUGUGGCAAACCACGAACAUUAGGAGCAAUCUCUGCAAAACUCUCCAUACCAGGAAUUGUCUGAGCCAAGGACGGAUUGAAUAGAACAUCUGGAAUCUUGAAUCUAUCAGCUCCUA